GCGCUUGCGAAUCAAGGAAACUCAGGAGCUGCUCUCUUACCUCUGCGUUCGCGCAGCCUGCAGCUGCAUCUCUGGCGUCGCCGGAGCAGCCCGACUCGGCCAACCUACCGGGGAUCCGUCCACCCGCCGUGGUUUCCAUGGCGACCAAAUAGCGCUGCGUUCUACAGCCUUAGGGAGGGGUCGGGGGGAGCUACUUCUCUCUCCAGGCACUCAGCUUCCCACCUGCGAACGGGGAGGGGAUUCUCGUCCAGGACAAUCAGACUAAGAGGGAGGCAGAUUCAUAUCACCAACUUCCUUGUCUUGGAAGAUGGUGGGCUGGUUGCUGUGGCUUGUCAUCAGUCCUGCUGUCUCACUCUGCAUUGCUGCUAUGCGUGGCCAAGCCAUGACAGAAUGUGGGCUGAAGAGGCUUUUCCAGCAAUGCAGGGAUGUUCUUCAGGUACUCAGCACUGCCACAUUAUAGGACACCUCUGCUCUCAUUGCCAGGGGAAUCUUGUGGAUUGGAUUUGAAUGUUUUUUUCCCCUAUCUUUCCCAUAACUCCCCAUGAAACAGUAUUUAAUUAGCAUGGGAUUGCAUAAAAAAUAUAGGAUGUUGAAUGAGUACUACAUUCACUUGGCAUAAAAAAUUAACAUGAUAUAAAAAGAUAUCAUUUGAGAAGUCUCACUCUAACCCAUGUUGUAUUAGUUUCCAAGGACUGUUGUAACAGAGAAUCACAAACUGAGUGGCAUAAACAUCAGAGAUGUAUUGUCACACAGUUCCAGAGGCUAAAUCUGAGAUCAAGGUCCUGACAGGGUUGGUUCCUUCUGUGGGCUGUGAGAGAGAACCUGUUCCAAGCCUCUUUUCCAUCUUGUGGUUUGUGGGCAAUCUCUGGCAUUCUUUGGCUCGUAAAGCAUCACCUCAGUCUCUGCCUUCAUUGUCUUCACAUGGCGUUCUCCCUGUGUGUGUGUUCCUGUAUCCAAAUUUUCCCUUCGUAAAAGGAUAACAGUUAUAUUGGAUUAAGGGCUCACCCUACUCCAACAUUCUCUCAUCUUUCAUGCUGAGGCACUGGGAACUUCAAAAUAUAAAUUUUGGGGAUCACAGUUUAGUCCAUAACACAUAUUUUACAUGAUAUUUUAAUGUCUGAUUAGACAUUUGUGCAGGCACAAGACACUUUAUGAUUGUCUGAGCAUAGUCAGUAACUCUGAUACAGACAGGAGGCAAGGAAAUACUGGGUAGAAGAGGGGACUUCCCCAGCAAAUGCACUACCCUCAAGACUGGAAACCCACAGACCUAGAUGGGAACAGGUAUUCCUGUUUUCACACCCAAGUGUUCCCUUUUGGCCUGCCGUGGCCUCCCAUCCUGUACGCAUGUAAACCUCAAACCCCAGACUCCACAAGCAGAUGAGCAGAGAAACAGAAGAGCGGCACAGCAGAGAAGGAGUGUCUGAGUGUUGAGAGGAGUUCAGCUGGAGAUGGUCAAAGAGGAGAUUGGUUGUGGGAUGGCCAAACUCCAGGGGAAGAUUAUCUUCCCACUCCAUUCCCUUUCCAGCUCCCCUUGCAUCCUGCUGAGAGCCACCUCUACCACUCAAUAAAAACUCCUGAAUUAACA
rnacentral:lncRNA from 13 species